UAUGUGCACCAAAGCUAUUUAUGACUAAGGCAGUACAAAGAGUUUAGUAUAAAAAGGGCUGACUGACAGAAAUCUGUGUUCUUUUUCACUUUUGUGCCUUUGCUUUGUUGUCCUUUUCUUUUUGGACUUGUUGGUGAUUCUCAGCUGCAGACAGCUUUAGAGAAUUUCACUUGCUGAAGACACCAUCACCGACUGGUAUUGCAAACGACCAACUUGUGGCUGAACCUCUGCAAAUUAGACAACCAAUCACUCAUCAGUCAAGUUACAAAUCAAGGGAGUCAUGAUGGUUCAGUGCACCUGUUUGCUGCUGCUGCUGCUCUCCACUGCUGUGUUCUCACAAACUUACGACGACUUCAUAGUGAAACACACGCUUGUGAAGGCAAAGAAUAACAAAGGUUGUGCUACUUUGAUGAGAGCUGUCAAUGCACUGGAAAAUUCAAAAAAGAACACUCCAGGAAAGUGCAAGGAAAAGAAUACUUUUAUUAACGAAAGUGACGAGCAAAAAAUUCAGGACAUGUGUAAAGCUAAUUCUGACAAGAAAUUUGUUAACUUACCAUAUAAUUGUUUUGACUGUGUGAUAAAAGAUAUAAAGAAACCUUGUUCAUACACAAAAGAAAAACCUAAUGAGAAAAAGAUGAUAAAAUGUGAAAAAGACAAAUCCAAGAAUAAGAUUCUACCUGUACACCUUGAGGCUGGUAUCGUUUAGGAGAAGACUCAGCAGUUGAUUCCAGUUUAAAGCUGCUGGGUUGUCUUAACUACAUGUUCAAAAGAAUUUCUUAAAAUGUGUUGAUAAUCAUGUGACUGUCUUCUCACAAACAUGAAGAGGAAUUCUAAGGAUUUGAGAUGAUCACAUGAAAUAAAGCAAAAUAAAAUUCUUUCAUCCAAUUUAA